ACACUGUUCAUGGGUUACCGCGGCUGCUGGCACGGAGUUAGCCGGUGCUUCUUCUGUGAGUGAUGUCCUUCCUGCCGGCUAUUAACCCGCAGGCCUUCUUCCUCACUGAAAGUGCUUUACAACCCGAAGGCCUUCUUCACACACGCGGCAUGGCUGGAUCAGGGUUGCCCCCAUUGUCCAAUAUUCCCCACUGCUGCCUCCCGUAGGAGUCUGGGCCGUGUCUCAGUCCCAGUGUGGCUGAUCAUCCUCUCAGACCAGGCUACGGAUCGUCGCCUUGGUGAGCCGUUACCUCACCAACCAGCCUAAUCCGACAUAGGCUCAUCCGAUAGCGCGAGGCCCGAAGGUCCCCCGCUUUCCCCCGUAGGGCGUAUGCGGUAUUAGCCUGGGUUUCCCCAGGUUAUCCCCACUACCGGGCAGAUUCCUAUGCAUUACUCACCCGUCCGCCGCUUCGCCACCAGGGAGCAAGCUCCCCGUGCUGCCGCUCGACUUGCAUGUGUUAGGCCUGCCGCCAGCGUUCAAU
rnacentral:rRNA from 1 species